AUUGAACGCUGGCGGCAUGCUUUACACAUGCAAGUCGAACGGUAACAGGCCGCAAGGUGCUGACGAGUGGCGAACGGGUGAGUAAUGCAUCGGAACGUGCCCAGUCGUGGGGGAUAACGCAGCGAAAGCUGCGCUAAUACCGCAUACGAUCUAUGGACGAAAGCGGGGGACCGUAAGGCAUCGCGCGAUUGGAACGGGCGAUGUCAGGUUAGGUAGUGGGUGGGGUAAAGGCUCACCAAGCCAAAGAUCGGUAGCUGGUCUGAGAGGACGACCAGCCACACUGGGACUGAGACACGGCCCAGACUCCUACGGGAGGCAGCAGUGGGGAAUUUUGGACAAUGGGCGCAAGCCUGAUCCAGCAAUGCCGCGUGCAGGAAGAAGGCCUACGGGUUGUAAACUGCUUUUGUACGGAACGAAACGGUUCUGGUUAAUACCUGGGGCUAAUGACGGUACCGUAAGAAUAAGCACCGGCUAACUACGUGCCAGCCGCCGCCGUAAAAC
rnacentral:rRNA from 1 species